rnacentral:tRNA from 2 species
UAAUAAGAAGCAAUAUUUGCAUUUAGUUUCGACCUAAAAAUUUGAUUUAAUUAUCCUUAUUAA